ACAGGUUAAUAUUCCUGUACUUGGUGUUACUGCGAAGGGGGGACGGAGAAGGCUAUGUUGGCCGGGCGACGGUUGUCCCGGUUUAAGCGUGUAGGCUGGUUUUCCAGGCAAAUCCGGAAAAUCAAGGCUGAGGCGUGAUGACGAGGCACUACGGUGCUGAAGCAACAAAUGCCCUGCUUCCAGGAAAAGCCUCUAAGCAUCAGGUAACAUCAAAUCGUACCCCAAACCGACACAGGUGGUCAGGUAGAGAAUACCAAGGCGCUUGAGAGAACUCGGGUGAAGGAACUAGGCAAAAUGGUGCCGUAACUUCGGGAGAAGGCACGCUGAUAUGUAGGUGAGGUCCCUCGCGGAUGGAGCUGAAAUCAGUCGAAGAUACCAGCUGGCUGCAACUGUUUAUUAAAAACACAGCACUGUGCAAACACGAAAGUGGACGUAUACGGUGUGACGCCUGCCCGGUGCCGGAAGGUUAAUUGAUGGGGUUAGCGCAAGCGAAGCUCUUGAUCGAAGCCCCGGUAAACGGCGGCCGUAACUAUAACGGUCCUAAGGUAGCGAAAUUCCUUGUCAGGUAAAUUCUGACCCGCACGAAUGGUGUAAUCAUCAUGGCGCUGUCUCGGCAGCAGACUCGGUGAAAUCUUAAUACCUGUGAAGAUGCAGGUUACCCGCAACUAGACGGAAAGACCCCAUGAAGCUUUACUAAAACUUACUAUUGAAUUUCAAAUUUUUAUGUACAGGAUAUGUGGAAGAAUAUGAGAUAAUGGCGCUAGUUGUUAUUGAUUCGCCCUUGGGAUACCACUCUUAAAAAUUUGAAUUUCUAAUUUACCUCUAUCAUCUAGAAGAAAGACAGUAGUUGGUGGUUAGUUUAACUGGGGCGGUUGCCUCCUAAAAGGUAACGGAGGCGUCCAAAGGUAUUUUCAGCAUGGUUGGAAAUCAUGUUUUGAGCGCAAAGGUAUAAAAAUGCUUGACUGUGAGACCUACAAGUCGAACAGCGAAGAAAUUCGGGCUUAGUGAUCCGGCGAUUCUUUGUGGAAGGGUCGUCGCUCAACGAAUAAAAGCUACUCUGGGGAUAACAGGGUUAUCUUCCCCAAUAGUUCACAUAGACGGGAAGGUUUGCCACCUCGAUGUCGGCUCAUCGCAUCCUGGAGCUGUAGCCGGUUCCAAGGGUUUGGCUGUUCGCCAAUUAAAGCGGUACGCGAGCUGGGUUCAGAACGUCGUGAGACAGUUCGGUCCCUAUCUGUUGUGGGCGCAGGAAAAUUGAAAAAAUUUGUUCUUAGUACGAGAGGACCAGAAUGAACUCACCUCUAGUGCAUUAUUUGUUAUGCCAAUAGCACAGAUAAGUAGCUAUGUGAGGUUUGGAUAAGUGCUGAAAGCAUCUAAGCACGAAGCCAUUUUUAAGAUUAAUUUUCCCAUCCUUUAAUGGAGUAAGAUCCCUUAAAAACUAUAAGGUUGAUAGGUUGGAAAUGUAAGCAUGGUGACAUGUUGAGUUGACCAAUACUAAUAGAUCGAGG
rnacentral:rRNA from 1 species